GUGGGGAAUCUUGCGCAAUGGGCGAAAGCCUGACGCAGCCAUGCCGCGUGAAUGAUGAAGGUCUUAGGAUUGUAAAAUUCUUUCACCGGGGACGAUAAUGACGGUACCCGGAGAAGAAGCUCCGGCUAACUUCGUGCCAGCAGCCGCGGUAAUACGAAGGGGGCUAGCGUUGCUCGGAAUUACUGGGCGUAAAGGGCGCGUAGGCGGACAGCUUAGUCAGAGGUGAAAGCCCAGGGCCCAACCUUGGAAUUGCCUUUGAUACUGGCUGUCUUGAGUUUGGGAGAGGUGAGUGGAACUCCGAGUGUAGAGGUGAAAUUCGUAGAUAUUCGGAAGAACACCAGUGGCGAAGGCGACUCACUGGCCCAAUACUGACGCUGAGGCGCGAAAGCGUGGGGAGCAAACAGGAUUAGAAACCCUGGUAGUCC
rnacentral:rRNA from 1 species